rnacentral:rRNA from 1 species
CCUAGCUUGCUAGGUGGAUUAGUGGCGCACGGGUGAGUAAUAUAUAGAUAACGUGCCUCUUAGUCUGGGAUAGCCAUUGGAAACGAUGAUUAAUACUAGAUAUUCCUUCUAACAAUAAUGUUAGUCGGGAAAGUUUUUCGCUAAGAGAUCGGUCUAUAUCCCAUCAGCUAGUUGGUAGUGUAGGAGACUACCAAGGCAAUGACGGGUAGCGGGUUUGAGAGGAUGAUCCGCCACACUGGUACUGAGACACGGACCAGACUCCUACGGGAGGCAGCAGUGAGGAAUAUUGCACAAUGGAGGAAACUCUGAUGCAGCAACGCCGCGUGGAGGAUGACGCAUUUCGGUGUGUAAACUCCUUUUAUAUGUCAAGAAAAUGACGGUAGCAUAUGAAUAAGCACCGGCUAACUCCGUGCCAGCAGCCGCGGUAAUACGGAGGGUGCAAGCGUUAUUCGGAAUCACUGGGCGUAAAGGACGCGU